ensembl:lncRNA
GAUACAGUCACAUAGACAGCAGGUAGAGAUAGAUACAGUCACAUAGACACCAGGUAUAGAUAGAUACAGUCACAUAGACACCAGGUAGAGAUAGAUACAGUCACAUAGACACUAGGUAGAGAUAGAUACAGUCACAUAGACACCAGGUAGAGAUAGAUACAGUCACAUAGACACCAGGUAGAGAUAGAUACAGUCACAUAGACACCAGGUAUAGAUAGAUACAGUCACAUAGACACCAGGUAUAGAUAGAUACAGUCACAUAGACACCAGGUAUAGAUGGAUACAGUCACAGAGACACCAGGUAUAGAUAGAUAGUCACAUAGACACCAGGUAGAGAUAGAUACAGUCACAUAGAGACCAGGUAUAGAUAGAUACAGUCACAUAGACACAAGGUAUAGAUAGAUACAGUCACAUAGACAGCAGGUAUAGAUAGAUACAGUCACAUAGACACCAGGUAUAGAUAGAUACAGUCACAUAGACACCAGGUAUAGAUAGAUACAGUCACAUAGACACCAGGUAGAGAUAGAUGCAGUCUCAUAGACACCAGGUAGAGAUACAGUCACAGAGAAACCAGGUAGAGAUAGAUACAGUCACAUAGACAACAGGUAUAGAUAGAUACAGUCACAUAGACACCAGGUAUAGAUAGAUACAGUCACAUAGACAGCAGGUAUAGAUAGAUACAGUCACAUAGACACCAGGUAUAGAUCCCUCCAGAACAUUCGCUCUUCUGUGUGGUUCCAGACUGACUCGCCCCCUGCGUUCGGGGGCGGCUCGCUGCCGUACGGGACAGAGAUUCUCGGCCCCUCACACUCCCCCGGGGGGAAAAGCCCAGCCUGGGAUUAGCUGCUGGACGGAACAGCCUUGCACAUGAAGUAGCUCACAUAAUUGGCACUUAGCGUCCAUCGUGUUCGAGGCCCCGGGGUCCACCGAGAGAGCCUUCCUCACUGAAGAGAGCUUUGGGUUUUGUUUGUGUUUUUCGGUAAAUUGCAUCAGUUGUGUUUUGGUCGCUCUCUCGAUGCUCCUGAGAAAUUGCUCCCAGAAUAUUGGAGCGCCCCCAGAGGCCAGACCGUAUUAAAGUGGUUAUUAAGAAUUCACUCAAUUCUAGUCACCUAGAGCCAGUAGCGAACAGUGGGGUUUUCUAGAUAGAAGUCAUUCAUAAGCAUGGGACUACAGUACAGGUUAACUGCAGACAUUAGGGUGUGACCGUAGGCCAUAUUAAGAGAACAGGCUCAGCAACUUGAGGCUUAGUCUAAGCACUCUAAGGCUUAGUCUGUACCCCCUUUCCAGUGGAUAUGGUAACAUCGUUUUCAUGUCAUUGUUACAGCGGUAUCGUGUUCUAUUUUCCAUUAUCUUGAACAGAACUCAUUUUAGAACAGAAACAAUUUCCCCGAUGAGUAAUACCCUGAAUCUCAGUCUGGGGCCGAGCGGUUUAACUUUUGUGUUGCGUCUAUUUCUUCCCGCUGUGUCAGCCGCCCAUCAAUCAGCUUCUGUUUGGUGCUAAUGGUGAGAUGUUGAAGACAUGCCAUAACCCUGAGUAGGGUCGUUUUACGUAGGCACGUGCACGGUAUUUGGCACCACACACUAGACAUGACGGAGUGGGCGAAGGGUCUAUUUUUAACUUUCAUUUCAAUUCAAAUAUCAUGCAUACCUUUUGAGACCUUGAAUCCCAG